AUUGAACGCUGGCGGCAGGCCUAACACAUGCAAGUCGAGCGGUAGCACAGAGAGCUUGCUCUCGGGUGACGAGCGACGGACGGGUGAGUAAUGUCUGGGAAACUGCCUGAUGGAGGGGGAUAACUACUGGAAACGGUAGCUAAUACCGCAUAACGUCGCAAGACCAAAGAGGGGGACCUUCGGGCCUCUUGCCAUCAGAUGUGCCCAGAUGGGAUUAGCUAGUAGGUGGGGUAACGGCUAACCUAGGCGACGAUCCCUAGCUGGUCUGAGAGGAUGACCAGCCACACUGGAACUGAGACACGGUCCAGACUCCUACGGGAGGCAGCAGUGGGGAAUAUUGCACAAUGGGCGCAAGCCUGAUGCAGCCAUGCCGCGUGUAUGAAGAAGGCCUUCGGGUUGUAAAGUACUUUCAGCGGGGAGGAAGGCGAUAAGGUUAAUAACCUUGUCGAUUGACGUUACCCGCAGAAGAAGCACCGGCUAACUCCGUGCCAGCAGCCGCAGUAA
rnacentral:rRNA from 1 species